rnacentral:rRNA from 1 species
AGCAGCCGCGGUAAUUCCAGCUCCAAUAGCGUAUAUUAAAGUUGUUGCAGUUAAAAAGCUCGUAGUUGAAUUUCGGGAUCAAUACGUCGGUCGUGCUUCGGUACGUACUGGCGUCAUUGGUUUCUCCCUUCUGACGAACCAUGAUGUCAUUAAUUUGGUGUUAUGGGAAAUCAGGACUGUUACUUUGAAAAAAUUAGAGUGUUUAAAGCAGGCUCACGCUUGAAUACAUUAGCAUGGAAUAAUGAAAUAGGACGUUCGAUCCUAUUUUGUUGGUUUUUAGGAUCAACGUAAUGAUUAAUAGGGAUAGUUGGGGGCAUUAGUAUUCAAUUGUCAGAGGUGAAAUUCUUGGAUUUAUUGAAGACUAACUACUGCGAAAGCAUUUGCCAAGGAUGUUUUCAUUAAUCAAGAACGAAAGUUAGGGGAUCGAAGACGAUCAGAUACCGUCGUAGUCUUAACCAUAAACUAUGCCGACUAGGGAUCGGAUGAUGUUAAUUAUUUAAUGACUCAUUCGGCGCCUUACG